rnacentral:tRNA from 1 species
GUUCAUGGAGCUCAAUGGUUGGAGCAUCCAUCGACCGAAGAUACGGAAGUCGUGGGUUCAAUUCCUUCCUUGAACU